UCUCUAUACGUAUUGGGAAGUUGUUUAGUUUGAAGUCCCCAAAUUUUAAUUUAUAUUUAGGAGUAGGAGCUAUACAGGUUAGCUUAUGGGUGUGUUUGAAGAUGAAUAUGGUUUCAGAUUGAUUCCUCUAAAUUUUGUUGCAUUGUAACUGGUGAUAUGGAUAAAGCAACUGGUUCUAAAAAUGACAAUAACUGAACUGAAUGGUGUCAAGUAAAUUCUGGUGCGUUGCUAGGUAAGACUAAGGUCUAUACAUAUUGGGAACUUGUUAAGUUUAAAGUCCUCAUAUUUUAAUUUACAUUCAGAAUUAUGAGCUAUAUAGGUUAGCUUAUGGUUGUGAUUGAAGAUAAAUAAGGUUUCAGCUUGAUUCAUGUAAAUUCUGUUGCAUUGUAACUGGUGAUAUGAUUAUGGAUAAUGCAACUGGUGAUAUGAUUAUGGGUAAUGCAACUGGUUUAAAAGAAUACGAUAACUGAAGUAAAUGGUGUCAAGGAACUAGAUUUUCCAUUGUGAGGUUUCUUGAAGAAGUGAUGAAUGAAAAAACUUGAUAUAUUAAUUGUUUGUGCAAUGUCAGAUUUGUGAAAGCUCAACAAAGUAGAGUUUUUUGGGAGUCGAUGGUAGCCAUCCUUUGAAUGAUUAGCCAUCCUUUGAAUGAUUAUGCUCUUAAUGAUGGGGUAAUGAUUAUGCUCUUAAUGAUGGGGUAUUGUAUGAACUAUAUGUAAUAUUCAAGAUGCCAAUAAUAUUUCCUGGUAUCUUUUGGUCGCAAGCACCAUUCUUUUUUCAACUCUAUAUGAACUAUUGCAUGAGAGAACAUUUCAGGAGUAACUUGUGUUUAAAAGUUGUGGAAGGCAGAAGUUAGAUCAACUAUUUGAAGAGAUUGAAAAUGUUGUUUUAUUUUUUUCAAAUAAUUUAUUUCUGGCAUGCUUUUGCUCUCCUCUUCAGAUCAGGUCAUCUGGGAUGGGUCAGCUACACAGCUGUUCAAAGCUUAUUUCAUUACCAGACUGCCUUAGCUACUCAUCAUGAAUUCUGACGAUAUUGGUUUGGUGGUUUAACAAUGUAGCUACUCAUCGUGAAUUCUGACGAUAUUGGUUUGUCGGUUUAACAAUGGUUUCAUUGUAUUAGUUUAUACUUUUUGCUGGUGGAUGACUUAUGAGCAUGUUUCAUCAUCAGUCACAUUUCAUUUCUAAUUGUGAGAUUUCUUGCCACGUUUAUGAGAAUCAACUGGUCUUUCCAGUCAUUCUAGUCUGACUGGGGAGUGAACUAUAAAUAGAGUUUCAACGAGUUUCUGAGCCGGGCCCAACUCUAGUUAUAUUUUAAGCUAAAAUAUUACAGGCUAGAUCAGAUUAGAAUCAGUGAUAUGGGAAUUUCAGGAUGUAGAAUUUCUCUCCCAUUAUUCAAGCUUAUUUUUCAAUUUGCAAAUAACAUGAUUAUGUUUUCUGUAAAUGAAGAUUUUUGCAGGAACACAGUAGUUUUUCUGAAGAACACCAUGUUAGUGAUUGUGUUGGACUACAAAUGCUAACAUAGACUAAUUAUCAACUACGGUGAUUUCAUGCUAUGUGGUUGAGCUUAGUUUGUGAGCUUCCAUGUUUGGAUUCAUUCAACUUAUACAUGGUGAGAAUUUGAUUCUGUUGGGGUAGAGGAAGUAUCAAAAUAUGAGAUCAUAGUAACUUGUUGUCUUUUGAAACUGUUAGGAGUUUGUUGGGCAUUGGAGAUGACAACAUAAUUUUAGCAAGUAACCAUGGUCGGAAUGAUAGCAGCAACUUUGUGAUGCUAGUUGUAAUUGAAAUCCUUAUUACAGAUUAUCUAAUAGCAUAUUCAUUUUUUUUGAUCAAUAUACGAUUUGUGACUACAUGAUGCAGUAAUUCUACCAUUUUGGUAGAUUCUCAUCUGUAAGCUUUAGAGUACAUGGUUUCAGUUGACAUUGAUUACCAUCCUUAACAGCUUUCUAUUGAAAUGGAUAUGCAUUAUCCUUGUUACUAGGUAAUGAUAUAUGUUAAUUCCUUAUCCUAUGCCAUCAAAUCUAGCACUUGGUGCUUGCAGUAUAGAAGUUGAGCAUUGGAAAGUCAGCUGUGGUUGGCCACAAGAGUUUAAGCAAUUAUCAUAGAAUGCCACAGAGAGAGGAUGAGUGCUCUCUAUGACUAAGAUGACACGUAGUAUUUGUGGCAGAAAAUUUAAUUGUUUCUAUGGAUUAUUACAAGCUUAUGGUGUAUUCAAUAUAGCCAUGGAAGUUAGUCUUGAAAUGAAACUUAAUAUUGUAUCUGUUUCACUUUAUACAUCUCCUUGUAUGUUUUGAAACUAUAUUUGAUUCCUAACAAUCUUUAUUUUACAAAAGAUGAUAACAGCUUGGGGGAUCUGAAGAAAUAGUGACCUUAGAAUCAGUCUCAUAAUUGGCAUCCCCCAUUUUGAUAAUCUCAUCAACAAUUACCUCGUGUCUAAUAAUGGUUAGCAUUAUAAUGCUUGGACAUCUUAUAGCUCGUCAAUGUUGGUAGUUGCUUUACUGCAUCUGGUGGUGAGGAGCUGAGGCUGAGCUGCUAUGCUCAACCACUUUCAUAUCCAUUCCUUUUUGCCAAAGCAAAAUAGUUGUUUUCUCCAUACUUGAAAUGAGUGUAAGACAUCUCUACUAUGUCUUUGGUGGCAGCAGGCACUUAACAUAGAUUUUUUCAGUACCGUUUGUGAUAUGGAAAUAGUCUUACUGAUAUACAGUUGUGGUAGACUCGAACUUUGACAACCAUAGACUACUGCAUUAAUGUUCUAAUUCAACUUCGGAUUCUCUGUUUGGAGACCUUCCACUAGUUGGAACAUGGUGCCUAUGCCAUUACAUUUAUUAGCAUAUCAAACAAUAGAAAUAAUGUGAGGUUAGGCAGGUUGAGUAUAUACCUACUCUUUUGAUUCAGAGUUAGCUUUGCUAUCGCAUCAUUGGCUUGAUAAUCCCUCACUAUCUAUCAUAGGCAGUUGAGUCACAUAUUCAGUUGGUGAACUGGUUUCCCAUGGUUGGAAACCUUAAAUAUAAUUGCUCUUUUUGUGAUUUAUCCAUUUGUCUUCAUGACAUCCUGCAUUUGAAUGUUAUUUUGGUUCCGGUUGUCAAAAUACGAAAUAGAAGCUUGAGUAAGAGAGAGAAUCAAAGAAGUUAUCUUUUGAAUUCUUGGUUCAUCAUUUAAAAUCAAACAUGAGCUGGAAGUGUGAGGGUAGACAAUAACAAGAAGUUAAAUCUUCUCUCAUUUCUUUGUAUACCUUUAAUAUAGAAGUUGUGUAUGUAUGUAAUUUUGAAGUUGAACACCAAAAACCACGGAUGAAAUCCAUAAGCAUUCAGCAGUGAAGGUUCUUUUCCUGAUUUGUUAUUAGUACUUGUCUAAUGCUGGAUACGUCUUAUUCUGUUGCAGCUCUUUUGUCUAUGUCAUUAUUGUGUAUUAUAUGAAGUGGAGCCAAUACCCAGAAUUGUUGCAUGGUAUGACCAUGCGUCUAGGACAUUGGCAUUAUCUAGUUCUACCAUUACAAGAUAUGGCCCAUCUCCAUCAUCGAAUUUGAAUUCUCCUGAUACAGUUCUUUGUUAUAUAACAAUUCUAGUGUGAAGCAACUGUUGUUUUGCCUAUUCACACUCUUAUGUAUUCCAUGUGGAUAAUUAUUUGUAAAUUCAACACCUAGGUGCAUCAUAUGCUAAUACAGCAAUGCUUUUGCUAAUCCUCAUCAUUAAAGGUGGAUUAUAUCGGUGCUGUGCAACUUGGUCGUGCUAUGAAACUUGGGAAACUUUUUGGGGGUGACUUUUAUGAUCUACGGAUAUUUAGGAUGUGCCUAGCGUCAAUAGUUAGGAACUGUUUUUAUCCAAUGUUUUAUUCUUCACUUUUGUAACUUCUUUAUGAUGAGCAUUUCCAUUCAAAAGGGUUCUGUGAAGUACAAAACUUCUGUGACAAGAAAUUUAGUAUAAAGUUACAUGUUCCUGUGGAAUCUGGAUCACUAGAAAAUUGUCUACCAAGAAGACGUUGCUGCAAUUCAACUAGAGAAUUUUAAUCUGUUGACAGCCUGUAAUGUUGCUGGCUUCUUCAAAUUGGUACCAGCUUUCAGAUUCUCCAAUCUUAUGUGUCUUCUUUACAGUGGCUCUGGUUUAUAGGAAUUCAGUGAGAUGCAGAUGAAAUUUUCAAACCAUUAUACUGAAAUGUGAUGCUUGAUGCUAGAGAUAAUGUUGUGAGACACUUCAGAUUCACAAUCAUCAGCCCUCUGCUUAUUCUCAGCUCACACUGAUGUUCAAAUUCAGCAAGGUUUUCAAGGAAAGGAAUAAAUAAUGAGGAGCAGGUGAAUUUCAUGAGUCCAAUUGAAGAACUUCCAAUGAUGAAAAGAAUCUUGUUCCUUAAAAAACAUCUUUAAGCAACUCACUUGAAUUAGUGUUUUUAACUGCUAGCAAGAGGAACCACGACUAUGUUCUUUUUCAUUAUAUGGGUCAAGGUAUAUAAGCCUCCCGUAGGAUAUCUGGAUCUGAUUUGCAUUGAGCACAUCUCCAAAAAAAUACAUUUUUUGGCAAUGGGCUACUGAGUUUCCAGUGCAUUGUAUGCAAGUUAGCCAAACAAAUAACAGUUUGGGGCAACAUUUGAGAGAGUAAGUUCAAUUAUUGAGUAUAACAGUGUACAUCCUUGAUUUUGAGUCAGAACAGUGGGGUAAACUGAAAACGAGUCAUAAAGCAAUAUGAAGUAGAAGCGGAUCAUGGCCAGAGCAAGAGAGAUGCCAGAGCAUUACAGCGGCAAAAUCAUCAUUGCCUUUGGUUGACAGUCAUGGAGUUACUGUGUAGAAGCCUGCAGGAGAAUGUGCGUAGCUUCCUUUCAACCCUUAAUGCAAUGGGAGGGACUUCGGAUACCAAAAGCAUUCCAGUAUUCUGCUUCACAAAUCACUUGCUUAGGGGUGUAUUGGAUGAACAUUUAAAAGGAAAUGCAGCUAUUAUGGUUGUGGACUUUGUUUUCUCAAAGAUCACACAUGCUUUUGUGAAUGCAAUGGAUACCAACAGUGCUCCAAUUUUUUGCUUCACGAGUCACUUAGGGAUGUAGUGGAUGGAAAAGAAAUGAAGCCUUGUGGUUGUGAACUUUUUUCUCCUGAAUUCCACACUUGCUUGUGUCGCAUGACAAAACAAGAGCUUAUACACGGCGAGAGAUGUUAUGGAUCCUUUUUAUACAAAUAAUAGAGGAUAAUUAGUCCUUUGCAUUUGUAGUUGGGUUAAAUUAUUUACUAAACAAAACAUUUGUAAUUUGAUUAAUAAUUCAAAGUGGUGUAUGGUAUUAAAGAUUGAAAGGUAUUUUGGUUAAUCAACUUCUAUGGAUAAGUGUAUAGUUCUUUGUAAAAAGUUUACAUAUGGCAUGCUUGGCCGAGUACAUGAAAUAUACGACCUUAAGUGUUCUAGUAAA